UCUUCGAUAGUAUAGUGGUCAGUAUUUCUGCUUGUCAUUCUCUGGAACAACUCGCAGGAGGCCGGGGUUCGAUUCCCCGUCGGAGAG
rnacentral:tRNA from 1 species